AUUUAAUUUCAUUAAUUUUGAUUAGGUUUUUUCAUUUUUUGUUUCAAAAACCAUAUUCUUCUAAUCCACAACAAGAACAACCAAAUGCACCUCUUGAAAACCCACAAGAACAACCAAAUGCACCUCCUGAAAACACACAAGAACAACCCCCAAUUCCUCCUUUUGACUGCACACACGAAACAUAGGAGCAAUGAAUUAAUCAGUUAGGACAAAAUACGUCUAAAAUCAAUAGACUGAUUGUUAAAUUGAAAACUUCUGAACUUGAGUAUCAUCAAUCCCUCACCACUAGCCUAGAAACACUAGUUAGUGGUGCCAUAGUUGUUUCCACACAAAUUACCAAAUGGAGAAGCUUUAGGGAUAGGUGUCAUCAAUUCUAUGUCGAUGGGCUAUCAUACGAUGGAGUAAAAAAUAAAAAUAUUACUAAACAACAAAUAUGUGCCCUUUUCGUUGAUCCCAAAACUGGUUAGUCAUUACCUCUUAAUACAAAGAGGUUUCCCAUACAUUGGUGUACCAAUGUGUAGAUGAAGAAUCUUUUUUGGCAGAGAUGGUGGAUGGUCUUUGAUGAUCCACCUUGUACUAAUUAUGAGGUGCCAUUAUAUUUUUUGAGAAAAGUAUAUUGUGAGUUUGUGCUCAAUGUGCACCCAAACUAUUUUGACAUGAGAGAGUUCCAUCGUAGAGGUGGUGGCUUUUCCCAAGAUAGACCUGGAGCCCAUAGGUGAUUACCCACAGAGAGUCAUCGCCCCCUAGCAUCAAAACCCAAGGUGCAUCAGGUUGUCCUAGUAGAGCUGAAAGAGUCAAUGGAUCUACAAACUCUUUAGGCGGCCACAACAUUGACUGGUGCCAUCAUCCAGCAUGGGACGUCAUUAGCACACCCUAUUGUAUUGGAUGAUGAACCAUUAGGUGGCGACAGAGAGCCCAUCCAACAUAUGUGUGUCAGUUGCUUAGGGAUAUGCUCGGGGAUAGAUGAUGCAGUCGGUGUAGAUGGAUCCUCAUCUCAUCUAUGCAUGAUUUGCGGGAGUAGAUGUCAGGCCCGCACGACUGAGGAUUUUGCACUGACAAAUGAGUUGAUGGACAUGGUGUUUGCCCAUGAGUGAGAGACACAGGAUGCAGCAGCGGUAUCCCAUACUCCUCCCCCAGUUACUAUAGUUGCAACUUCGAUGCCUGAGGUGUUGACAGGGGACGAAAUGUCCCAGAUUAAUGACAUCACGCUCUCAGUGAUCGAUUUUGGCCUACAAGGCUAUACGGGUACCCCAUCCGCGUCUAGGGCUCGUCCUAAGAAAAAGAAUUCCUCGAAGAUGCCAAAACGUGGGAAGAAACGGUCAUUAAGCUAUGUGGAUUUAUUGAAUGCACUUGAUUCGCCCAUGGAUAAAGAGAGAGCGGAGG